rnacentral:lncRNA from 1 species
GAUUUGGAAGUGUAAUUUUCAAUUUAUCUAUACUUUAUGUGUGAAAUUUUUACCACUAAACUAUUUGAAGAAAAGAAAAAGCAACGUUCAAGUAAAUCUUGGAUUUGAUUCUUUUAAGAUUCUUUUUACAAAUAUUAAAAAACUAGUGUAAUGAAAUAAAACCUCGAGAAUAUGAUAUAGUGGUAAAAAAGACAUUUUGGAUUUAGAGUUUUUAGGAUACGAGACCUGUUAGUAAUUUUAAAGGGAGAUAAAUGUAAAUUCUCUUGUAAGUGUUAUUUAAACCUUAAGGUUUUCCAUGUUUUAAUUUGUAACACUAUCCUUUCACCCUAUGAUUCAUAUAUAUUGAAGAAAAAAUGGAAAUAAAUAAUUUGACAUGAAAAAUAAACUCCCUUGCAAAUUAAACUAAUUCAGGUCUAAUUGUCUCUUAAAACCCUAAUUGUUCUUCGCAAUAUUCAUUUUUCAUAUUUUUUGUAACUUGAUUUCGCACCCGUACGCAGAUUCGCUGGUUUGCACCUAUGUUUAAUGAAUUUUUGUUAACAUAGAUUAGGGUUGAUCCACUGGGUCUGGUUUAUAUUAUUGUAUCCCCAUUUGAUUGUACUUGGGUCAGGUCUAAUGUCUCCGUCAUUGUAGCUCGUUCUUUUUAUUUAUUUUAAUCUUCCUUUUAAUUAAAAAAAAUACUAAUUCAGAUAAUCAGAGUAUUUAAACCCCGCUUAUGUAAUCAGUCAGGAUAAGGGAUGAUAUUAAAUAAUUUGAUUUGUUUUAGUCUUAUUUCACUUUCAAAUUAGUAAUUUAAUAGUUUGACGAAGUGUUUUUUAAAUUAAAUUAUAAAAUAAAUUGUAAUGUGAUGGACCACAACAAGUGUCACCCGUCAAAAAAAGAUGAUUGCUUUAUCAUCGUUUGAACAUAUAAUAAUUACAAACAAUCAUUAUAAAACUAGAUAUAUUUUUUUUGAGAGAAUUAUAAAACUAGAUAUGAUUAGUAAGAUCUAUCAACAUCCACUUUAAUCUAACACGGGUAUCACUGUCUUGAAUUUAGAAAGAGAGGGUUGAGAAACAUUAAUCAUACUCAUCUUUUACUCCUUGUGCAAAAUUAAGGACCAUGAACUGCUCAAAACACCAUCUUCAUCGAAAAAUCAUAAACCAAACAAUUCAGUUCAAGUGGUUAAUGUGUUUCACAAAUGACGAGUCGUUCGAGAGAAUUCGAAUUCAAUUUCUAUAUGAAACAAUUCCUAAACAUGUUAUUCUUACGCCAUGGCUUAACUUCUGAUUAUCAAGACCUCUUUCAUUUAGAAAGUGUAAGGAUAACGCCAAAAAGGAUAAAAAUAGAAUAUCACAGUGAAAAAAGGUAAUUAUCUUAAAACAAGUGGUUUAAGUUGUUAAUAGUUAUUCUAACUUGACUUGCCAUUAUUAUUGAGUAGAUGUUUCAUUAACAACGGAAACAUAUACAAAGAAAGUGGCUCUUAUUUUUUGUUUUCACAAGACUAAUGUUUCUAUGUGUUUGGCCAACUAUUGACAGGUUAUUUUUUUUUGUGGUGUCUGAGAUUCAAACCCCGGAUCUUGCAUAUACUAUGCAUUGUUUUUACCAACUGAGCUAAGUUAUCUGGACAACUAUUGGCAGGUUAUGCUAAUGCGCCAACUCAACUUACUUAUUUUUAUUAUUACCGGUUCAAAAUAUAAGGGAAAAAAUUAUAUUUGUCAAAAAAAAAAAAAAAAAAACUAACUGCGUCUGCCAAUGAUACAGUAUAUGGCAAUAACCAGCAGCACCAAGUUGUUACGGGGCACUUGAAUUGCUGUCAUGAUUUAAAAUUUCAACCCCAAUCAUGUCCAAAUCAAAAUCACAAUCAUGAUUGCGACCAUAUUAACUCUGCUUUGUAUUUGGAAAGGUCGUCGCAACUUGCAAGCAUAACUAUCAUCACAUUGUAAACACAACAACAGUUUAAAAGGAUUUGGAUUCACUGUAGCUCAUGCUCCUAAUUACAAGCAUUCUUAUCACAAGAUCAGUUUUUAGGCAUUCGUUCAUCUCAUGCUUGCUUUGAUGUUCGUUUUUGUCUGCUUUGAUUGCGUUUUUUAAAUUAAUGAUAUUAGGGUUUUGUGUUAAAGACUUAAAAAUUUCAUUUUUUAUGUUUAGUUACUAAAAAUGAUGAACAUUAGAGUAAGUAUGAACGAAAUUAGUGGGAGUCAAAUGAAGAAGACUUACAAUGACACUCAAUGUGAAAGGUGUUGAUUGAUUGGUCAUAACUCAAGAGGAUGUAUGAAGCAAGGUGUUGAUAUGAGACCAAAAAAUUGGAUUGAUACUGAGCCAAUGAAAAAAAUAUUGGAGGUGUUGCAUAAAAUGCUCGAAAUGUAUCACGAAAUGCAGAAAAUCUUGUGGUUGAAAAUGCUGGAGAUGUUGCAGAAAAUGCUGAAAAUGUUAAUCCUAUAAAUCUUGUUGCUGAAAAUGAUGGACAAGUUGCACAAAAUGCUGAAAAAUGUUGUUGCUAGAAAUUUUACAAUUCAGGGACAAAAUGUUGUCAAUGUUGUUGCAAAUGAAGUAUUGCUUGGACAUGUAUGACUGUUAAAUUUUAAGGAUCGAUUUGCUAGUAAGUGUAAUAAUUUAGGGACUGAUUUGAUUAAAUGUAUUAUUAUUUAGGGACAAAUAUGAUUGAAAAUGUUGUAGUAGGGUGUUCCUGCAAGGAGGUAUGACAUUAGAGGGUCAAUUAUUUCAAAUGAGAGGCCUACGCAAAAACCAGUGAGGGGUCCUGCACCAACACAUCCAACUGCUCCAGGCGUUAUUAGAGUACCAUAUCCAAAUUAUGAUCCAUCCGGUCCGACUCAACCUAAGUUCGUGGAGUUUAUCCCAACCCCCGAAUUUUCAAAGAAGUGAUACUUGAUGCAUGUUUAAAUUAUGAUUUUGGAAAUGUAAUAUUUCGACUUGUUUAAAUUAUGCCCCCUAGUUGGGUUUCUUUUUGGUUAUGUAAUAUUUAAGAACAUUCUUCUAUGACUUAUAUAACUUGUUAAUGACCCAUAAUUGGGUUGCUUUUGCAAUUGUAAUAUUUCAAACUUAAGGUGCAGAUAUUAAUGCACUAGUAUAGGGAGGUAUAACCCGAUGCAUAUUUGAUACAUGAAACUCCAGAGGCUUGCCUUGUUCUCAAGUGGAGGUUUCCAAGUUGAUGACCAUUUAGGGCCUGUUUGUUUCCAUGGAAUGAGCCACGACGUAAAGCAUAAAUAGGGAAAGUUUCUAAAUAUGUGUACCUUCCAUCGUUUGGUUUCUCUGACAGACAGGAAGGAAAGAUUGUUUAAGGCAUGUCCCAUGUAGAAAAGCUUGGAAUGAAGUUGUGAUCCAUUAAAAUGACAAAAGUGCCCUUGUAAAACUUCAUGUGCCCACUUACUUUUCCGCCAAAUAACAUUUCUCACACAAUACACUUUUGCAAUUUUUAACGUUUUGUCUUUAUGCUAGAUACUUAUUGUAUUAAUAUAAUUAAUAAUCACUAUAUUUACAUGUAUAAUACAUUUAAAAUAUCAAAAUCCAUUUAUAUAUAUAAAUAAUGGAAUAGGAUCAAAUGACAUCAUGGUGUCAAAAUUAGUUUGACACUAAAUCUUAUCCAUUCAUUUCAUUUAAUCCAAAGGCUUAAAACUAUCACCAAAUUAAUUAACAUACAUCAAAUACUCCCUAUCACCUAAUUAAGAAACAUAUCUAUCAUUAUUAAUUCAUAAUCAAACAAUACCUUCUUGUUUUUGGUAGAUUCAAACCCUUUUUAUUUUCCCCUAAUUUUUUUCUUUUGGCCAUAAACACAAACUCUAACUUUAUAAUUUUUAUAAAAUCAUGAUAAAUCUUAAUUCAGUUAAACAUGAGACACAACGAGUCCUCUAAAAAAAAUUAGACCUAUUAGUGACAAAAUAAUCUAAUUAGCAUGAACAAUUCAAAAAUCAUUUGUCGAGCUUGUUGGUUUUUUUUAAUACAAUUUAAUUAAUUAUUAAAAAAAUAUGAGUAUAUGAGAUAAAGAUAAAGAAAUAUCAUUGAUGGUGAUGAUGACUCAAACAACCAUAGGUAUAUGAGUUCAACCAUUCAUUUUAUAAAAAAAGUUUAGAAAAGAAGUUUGAGUAUGAUUAUAGAAAUCUGGGAAAAUUUAUAAAUUUGGGGAAAUAAAAAAGAGAAACAAAUAAAUUUGGGGAAAUAAAAAUGGAAUGUUUGAUUAUAAAUUAACGAUGAUAGAUAUUUUUCUUAAUUAGGUGAUAGAGAGUAUUUGGUGUAUAUUAAUUAAUUUGGUGAUAGUUUUAAGCCUUUGGAUUAAAUAAAAUGAGGGAUGAGAUUUGGUGUCAAACUAAUUUUGACACCAUGGUGUCAUUUGAUCCUAACCCAUAAAUAAUAUAUAACAUUUUAAUAUAGGGGUAUUAAUGAAAUUUUCUAAAUAUACACCUUUCUUUCUUUUCACUUUUACUCAUUCCAAACAACUAAAAAAUUAUCUCACUUUCCAUCAACUUUCUACUCACUUUCAUACAAUCUUUCCUUCUAUUUUCUUUCCUUAUACUUUCUUUUGUCAAUCAAACAUAGCCUUAGUGGCAUCUCUUAUGUUUUACUGAAGUCAUGAUUCCAAAGACACAACUGCUGUCUUAAUAUACAUAAAUUAUUAAAUAUCCAAUCCAAAGGUGUAAGUUGGCAUAGAGCGGUUAUGGUGCAUAAGAAAAUUCUUAUGCACCGUGCAUAAAUCCCAACAUAAUUGCUUCCUACACCCCCAAAGGAAACCAAACAAAAUAAAACAAAACGAACCAAACGCGGAAACAAACUGAAUCAUCACCAUCGUUCAUCAUCAUCACCACUGGAAUCUUCAAUCUCAUCAUCAACACCGCCGUUCAUCAUCAUCACCGUACCGGAAUGCCAAAACCAUUUUGUUGUGGAAAUGGUUUCUGUGAGUUGUACUCCAAACCCAUUUUGCUGUGGAAAUGGUUUCCAGAAUCUUCAAUCUCAUCAUCAACACUGUCGUUCAUCAUCAUCACCGUAUCGGAAUGCCAAAACCAUUUUGUUGUGGAAAUGGUUUCUGUGAGUUGUACUCCAAACCCAUUUUGUUGUGGAAAUGGUUUCCAGAAUCUUCAAUCUCAUCAUCAACAUCGUCGUUCAUCAUCAUCACCAUCAUCAUCACCGUACCGAAAUGCCAAAACCAUUUUGCUGUGGAAAACCAUUAGAUGUACUUAAUGGUUUCCAGCAGUUGUACUCCAAAACCAUUAGAUAUACUUAAUGGUUUCCAGCAAUUUCGCAGCCAUAAAUUCCAGCCCACGGGUGCGGAAAUUCGUGCAAUUAUGGUGAAAAUCACGAACCCGAAUCCACAGUUCCACCUCCAAACCCAGAACCAUCACAACCCACUUCAGAACUCCCCAGGAACACGAAGAAGAAGCUAGCGAGACAACAGAGAAGGGAAGCAAAGAAAGCAGAGAAGAAAGCGGCGGCGAAGAAGCAGAAGAAGAAGAAGGAAACCGAACGGAAACGAAAGGAAUGAGAACAAAGUUAAAACCUAGAUCUACACUGUUUGGUUGUUUAUCUUUGAAAACCGAGUCCGGAUUUGGAUUAUAGAAGGAAAAGGAAUUUUAAAAGUGAAUUUUUUUUUUUUGAAAUCGGAGCCAUUUCCUACUACUCUGGCGGCCGCGCCGAUGCCCUAGGGCGGCCGGCCACCGCGCCGAAGGUGUGUAAAAGAUGAAGCUUCAUCCCAGAUUGGUUUCUUAGAGAGAGAGUGAGAGAAAAUCUGUUUUUCAAAAGAGUAGAGAGAGAAAUGACAAACACAAAAUGAAAGAAAUUUGAUGGUUGUGAAGUGUUUAUGCACGGCGCAUAAGGAAAUGGCUUAUGCACCAUAACUUUUUCCAAGUUGGCAUAGAUAUACAUAAAUUAUUAAAUAAGUUGUUGGUCAAUAAAAAUAUAAUUAAUUUUGUUUUUAGUCCCCACAAAAAAAGGUUAAUUAAGUAAAUGAUUUUUAUAAAUAUUUAGAAUUUUGUUUUUAGUCCGUACAAAAUAAAAUCACACUAUUUAGUCUGUGACAUUUUCCUUUAGCAUUUUAGAGAAAAAAAAGUGUUGAUGGAAAUUUUUUAUAGAGACUCAAAAUAUUGAUGCAAAAUUUUACAGGGACUAAAAAGUACGAUUUUAUUUUAUAGGGACUAAAAAUAAAAUUCUAAAUAUUAAUAGGAACCAUUUAUUUAAUUAACCCUAAAAAAUGUGACAUAUUUUGGUUAGUAUAAAAAUUUUCAUCACGUAAUCUUAGUCCCUGUUAAAUUAAAAAUUGUUUAAUUAUGUUUAAAAUUUAAAAUUUUUGAAUGAUAUUUUACAAAAUUGUUUAAAAUAUUAUUAAAAGUUCAUCCGCAAAAAAUUAGCUCAAAAUUUGAUUUUUAAGUCCAAAUUUUUGUUAGUUUUAUCUUGAAAUUUUGCUGUUUAAAUAAAGUCAUGUUUGAUUCAUUAGAUGUUAAAAAAAUUUAAUUUUAUAAAAGAGUUUUUUAUAAUGUUCUUAACAUGUCUAUAAAAAAUCAUUUAAAAAUUUAAAAUUUUAAUCAUAAUUAAAUAAAUUUUAGGUUAACAGGAACUAAAACUAUGUGUUAAAAAUUUUUAUAGGGAUUAAAACGUGUUACUUUUUUCUUUAUGAGGACUAAAAAUUAAAUUCUCUAUAUUUAUAAGGACUAAAAACUUAUUUAACUCAAUAACUAACACAUACCUUUUAUACCAAAAACUUCAAGAGGAGUUACAUGGCUUAUACUUUGUUGAACACUUCUUUCUAUAUGCACAACAAAGAUGUUUCUUUUAUCAAAAGACGUAGUUUGGCUUCAAAGUAUGUAAACAUCUGAGACAUGGCUUAUUUAACCCAACAUUUGUUAGCUUAUGAUGAUGAUUCUACCACUCAAAUUUCUCUAGUGUUUAUGAAUGUUAUGUUGUACCCUCAUUGGACAAUUAUUCCUAUGACUAAAACACUAUUAUUUCUUGUUUGGAAUCGUUUCCUUUCUUUAUAAUGAAAGGA